CACAGAACAUCCAGAAACAACAGAGGUAAGAUCACUUCUAAUGUUGGGAUAACAAGAUGAUGACAUUAUUGCUGAAAGAAACAAACUGUCUCAGUGAGAAUGGAGAACCUGAUUUUAUUUAUCAUCCUAAUAUUUUAAUCUAAUCUAAAUCAAUGAGAGCAGGAAGAUUUACUGAAGAGAAAGCAUGUCUUUGUGAAGAUCAGAAGCAAAUGUGUUAAAUCUGCCAUUAAAAUCUCAAAGUUUUUAUCUUUCUGAUGAACAAAAAGAAUGCAUUAACAUUUUUUCUGUUUUAAUCUAGAGUCUUCACAGACAGCUUACUGUGUAGAGCUCAGACAUCAUCAUAAUCUUCUGAAUGUUGUUGAUUGCAGCAGACAGUAAAACAAAUGCAGCUCAGCAGCCUUCAGACUGAAACGAGAUGCUGCAGAGGAAAACGUCUUUUCUGAAAAUGCACUGGGCUUCACAUUCACGUCUUUGUCCACAGCGAACACGGAGCAGAGAAUUUCCACCCAGUUUUUCUUUGUCACAGAAUAACAAAGGAAUAUUAUCUUCAGAAGAGCUCUGAUCACUUCAGGAUGUUUGCUGUCCACCAACUGAAACCUAAGAAAGAGAAUCCUGGGACUCUAACAACAACAACAUCCAUCCAUUCUCUUCCACUUAUCCCUGUCAGGGUUGCUGGAGCCUAUCAGGGUACACUGUGGACAGCUCGCCAGCCUGACGCAGGGCUAACACAUACAGAAAAUCAUUCACACUCACAGUCAGCUCUAUGGGCAUUUUAGAUUCUCCAAUUAACCUAGCCCCACUAAUUGCAUGUCUUUAAACUGUGGAACGAAGCUGGACAAAGAAACCAUUAUGGCUGAGAAGACAAACAAAGAAACAGGAGGGCAACUGGAAGUACAAAGAACUUAGCAAAAACCUGAACUGGGAAAAGCUAAGAAAAGCACAUCACAAGAGGCUGGAAAACAGAGACACAGGGAAACAGGCAGAAGGACCGCAGGGGCAACGUGGAGGAUGAUCACACAGACGGACUGACAAGGAACAGAGGAAAGCACAGACUGUUGCUGUGUCCAAAUUCAGGGAAGGAUCCUUCAAGGAUUCUACCUACCUGUGUCACUUAGGAGGGUAUUUCAAUGGCAGUGUAGGCCAGAAGUGAGCGGAUGUGAAAUUAGACAGCCUUCUAAUUUUCUUUAAUCUACACGCAUUUAGGAAUGAUUGCCGGUCAUUCGUUCACAUUUACUGUAUUAUAUAAAAUAUGUAAACUAAAUCUCU
ensembl:lncRNA